ACUGCCUCGGUGCUGUCAGAAGCUAUUGGGUAUAUCAGAUUUCUUCGGGGACAAAUUGAGGCUCUUAGUUACCCUUAUCUGCGAAGUGCUCCAAAAGAGCUCACGAAUUCACAGCCUCUUGGAGAUGAAAGGAAAAGGCAAGAGAAGCCAUUGAAGGAGCUGAGGAGUAGAGGGCUUUGUUUGGUACCACUCUCAUGCACACACCUAGUUGGAGCUGAUACCACUUAUGG